rnacentral:tRNA from 1 species
GGCGACGUGGCCAAGUGGUAAGGCAGGGGCCUGCAAAGCCCUUAUACGCGGGUUCGAAUCCCGCCGUCGCCU